CGGCAGGAAGUACGUCACCAGAGCUGCUGGCUCACCGCUGUCAUGGCUUCGAACAUAAACAAGAGUCACUGAAAAGCGACACGUUUUGUUGUAGCAGUUUGCCACAGUCUUUAAAGUUACACUUUAACUCUGUUAAUUAAUUAAUUUCGGAGAGAUACGACAGGGUAGCAACAUGUCAGGGGGAAGCAAAGUCGUUGAGUUACAGCUCGAGAUGCGGCAAAACAUGGAGGAUCUGCAAAGCUACGUGAAGGAGCUGGGGGGCUGGGAGUCGGACAUGAAGAGGAGGGACGAGGAGCUGCGGACUGAAGGAUGCCAGGAGGAUGAGAGGAAACUCCCGCCUGUGCGCAACCAAGACUACAAAACAAAGAUGAGGGAAAAGAAGAAGAAGAAAAAGAAGAAGAUGACAGAGCCUGCUAGUAAUGGCGAUACGAAAGCAGAAGAAGACAAACAAGCAUCAAGAAUAAAAGCAUUUGACUAUCGAUCAUGGGACAAGUUUGACGUGGACAAGGCUCUGUCAGAGAUGGAUAAAGAGGAAAGUCCAGCGGAAUCAAAUGAGUCAGACUCAGAGGAAGCUGCACAUGAUGCGGAAAAAGCUCUGUCAGAGAAAGAAAAGGGUAAUGAGUUCUUCAAAGACGGCAAGUACGAUGAUGCCAUUGAAUGUUACACCAGAGGGAUGAACGCAGAUCCUCACAACCCUGUGCUUCCCACAAACCGAGCCACAUCCUUCUUCAGACUCAAAAAGUACGCUGUGGCGGAGUCGGACUGCAAUUUAGCGAUCAUUCUGGACAGCAACUACUUCAAAGCGUUCGCACGGAGAGGAGCUGCACGCUUUGCCCUGAAAAAAUAUGAAUUAGCGUUAGAAGACUAUGAGAUGGUUCUCAAGCUCGACCCUGGAAACACAGAGGCAAAGAGUGAAGUGGAGAAAAUCAAAGAAGUCCUUGGGCAACAGACAGUGACGGUACAGAGUGAAGCGCCGCAGCCACAGGAGGCUCCGACAGUCGACUCUGAGCAGCAGAGAGUGAUGGAGGAACAGCAGAGACGGAUGGAGGAGCAGCAAAAGAGACAGGAGGCAGUCUUACAAAAAGACAGGGGGAACGCUUAUUUCAAAGAGGGCAAGUAUGAAGCAGCCAUCGAGUGCUACAGCCAAGGCAUGGAGGCAGACAACAUGAACGUCCUCCUUCCCGCCAACAGAGCCAUGGCCUUUCUCAAGCUGGAGAAGCAUAAGGAGGCAGAGGAGGACUGCACUAAGGCUAUUUAUCUGGACAACACUUACUCCAAGGCUUUUGCUCGCCGAGGCACAGCCAGAGUAGCAUUAGGGAAACUGGAGGAGGCCAAACAAGAUUUUCAGGAGGUGUUGAAGCUGGAGCCGGGAAACAAACAGGCCUCGAAUGAACUCCAGAAACUGCAAAUUAUGUGUCCCAGCGGCCUCCUUCAAACUGAGGACAACAGUCCGAGGAGAACAGUCGAGCCGAUUGACAAACCAACACAUCUGCGCUCAACCAAACCUCUGAGGAGGAUUGACAUCGAAGAAGUCAGCGGUGAAGCAACAGUGCCCGAGGAGGAGGAGUCAGCUGGGUCCAAGUCAGUAGUCCGGAACGUGAUGAAGGAGCCCGAGGACGAAGAGUCAUCGCCACUGUCCACGUCACCCAGCGCCAAGAUGAUGAAAAUCGAGGAGAUAUCGGACACUCCCUCGCUCACAUCAGACCAACUUCCUGCCAGCAGACCCACAGAACCACCUGUGCAGAUGGAAACUGCGCAUCCGCCUGACACAAAAACCAACCCCUCCUCAACACCAACAGACCUGCCUCCUCCGCCAGCCAGCAGCUUCCAGCUGGAGACCGACCUCCGCAAGAUCAGACAGCAGCCUGAAAUGAUUUACAGAUAUCUGAAGCAAAUCAAUCCAGCGGCGUACGCUAAGAUUUUCCAAAACUCCCUUGAACCUGACAUCCUCAAUCAGAUCCUGAAGACGCUGCAAGAAUUCUACAUAAAAAAUGAGGCAGCAGCCGUGACACUGGAGAUCCUCAGCAGUCUAGUAAAUGUGAAGCGCUUCGACAUGGCCGUCAUGUUCAUGUCGUCCGCAGAGAAGAAAGUGCUUAAAGAAUUGUUCGACUUCCUUCACCAAGCAGAGCUGGAAGAAUCAUCUGUCACAGCGUUACAGAAGAAGUACGGCGUUUGACGCUUUAGGCUACACGCGUAAACGGAGCAGUGGGUGCAGUAAUGUUCCGUUCAGUGUGUCGACUAACUCUUCUAUGCCACGAGUCGUGUGAUUGGGUGGUAGGUGACACAACACAACAGACCAAAACAGAGGACAGACAUUGUGGGCCAGAAAUGAAAAUUUAAAUCGUGGCUGCUCCACUGUUAUCAGUGCAGCAAUUACUUUCCAUAAUCUCCAAUAACAAAUCACGGUCAUUAUGACAAUAUUACUUUAGGACUACAUAAUAUUACAACUUUAUUCUCCUAAAAUUACGACUUUAUUCUCCUAAUAUUACGACUUUAUUCUCCUGAAAUUGCGACUUUAUUCUCCUAAUUAUAAGACAUUAUUCUCCUAAUAUUUUGACUUUAUUUUCCGAUUUUAUUCUUGCAAUUUUACAACUUUUGUCUCGUAAUAUGAAGACUUUAUUCUCCUAAAAUUACAACUUUAUUCUCCUGAAAUUAUGACUUUAUUCUCCUAAAAUUACGACUUUAUUCUCCUAAAAUUAUGACUAUAUUCUCCUAAAAUUACUUACGACUUUAUUCUCCUAAGAUUAUGACUUUAUUCUCCUAAAAUUACGACUUUAUUUUCGUAAUAUUGUGACUUCAUUCUCGCAAUAUUGGAACUUUAUUUUCAUAAUAUUGCAACUUCAUUAUCGCAAUAUUAGAACUUAAUUCUCCUAAUAUUUCGACUUUAUUUUCCAAAAAUUACUACUUUAUUCUCGUAAUAUUACGACUACAUUUCAUCUUCAUUCUGGCCCUAAUACUCAGUCGUAUUUAUGAAACAGUGGAUUUAGUAGAAGCAGACGCUCCGUGUGAAAGAUGCUGUGUUGAAGCGAUGCUCAGGAGUGAUCUGUGAGCUCUUGUGUUACAGCUAUGUUGGUGCAAUGGCAUGAGGUCACUUGUGUGUUGGACAAUAUUAUGGUCUGUUGAACUGAUCUCUGAGAACUUUACCGACACAGCAUGUUUGUCUCAUUGUGAAAGCGACGUGAAAAAAAAGGCAGAGCCUGCUUUGACUAAAGGAACCUCUCUUCUGCUAAUAUAGAGUUUGGGAAACUGAUGAACAAAUAAAGUGAAUGAAAAAGCUUAAACUUCUUGCAGAAAGUAGGAUGAUUCAGAAAAUAUGCACUCUUAGACAUCUCAACUGGACUUCUCUCUUAAAAUCGGCAGGUCUGUGUUGUCCAUGGUCUGAUCGUACGGCAGCGCCUCGGUCUCCUCCUCCAUGUCUCUGAACUCGCUGAAGAAAGGCAGGUCCAGUGCCUCCGAGGCGCUGACCCUCUGCUCAGGGUCCAGAAGCAGCAUCUUCUCCAGGACACACACGGCUGCAGAGCACGUCGACACACACCGAGAGUUAGCGCGGAGGAAGUGAGCGGAACUGACCCGCGGCUGAAUAAAGAGAGCGUCACAUACCGUUUGAACUGGCCUUGGAGAAGAUGGAGUAGUUCGGUCUUUGCUCUCCAGUGUCUGGUCGUACAGCGGUGCCUCUGGCUCGUCGUCUGGAUCGUGGUACUGUGCGAAAUAGGGGUGGGACAGAGCCUCGCAGGCCGAAAUCCUCCCGUCACAGUCUAGAACCAGCAUACGCUUCAAAAGAUCGACGGCUGUCAGCGAGAACAGAAACAGGGAGACUGGUGUAAGAGGGCCGGGACAUGAGCGGAAACAAGCAUAAACCAAAAGGAUCAAGUACAGCGUGGAUUCCGAACUUACAACACACAGAGAGAGCAACUUGAGGUUGAACAGCCUCUGUUAAUAAGCCCAAAGAUUGAAUUUAAGAGUCUGAUAAUCCAAUCUGAAAAGCCGCACCCACCUAGUGGAUUUGCUCCUCUGAAGAUCUUCUCCAGGUCCUGCUGGGGCAUGAAGGGCAGAGACUGGAUGUACUUCUGUGCCUGGAAACAGAAAUCAGCUUUCAACCCGUGGUAUGUGACGGUAGUGCAUCACGUGACGUCUAACCAUCAGUGAUGGAUCAAAAAUGAACUUCCUUCUUGAAUUAUGUUGGAUGAAGAGCAUAUUUCCUCUAAAAUUCCAUUUGUUUUGUUAUUUUUUACAUAUAAUCCUAACCAUUUUUGAUGGAAAUGGUGAUAGGUCAAGCAGCAGAACUAGGGUCUAGACUAGAUUAUUAAUGUAUUUUAAAGGUGUGUUUUCAUGGAUUUAAUGGUGAUAUGAAGACACCCAAGGUUUUUGACCUUAACACCGCAUCAGUGUGUAAUUAAUGGCGAGAAUCUUGAGAAACUGUUUCUUAUGCCUAAAUAUAACUACAUACCGAAUUAGAAAA